rnacentral:rRNA from 1 species
AAAAGCACUUUGGAAAGAGAGUUAAAGAGGCCGCGAAACCGUUGGGAGGGAAACGCAUGCAGCCGAACGGGCCCGCGUCGGGUUCAGGGGGCUGCGAGGCGUCCGACGUGCCGUCGGCACCCCUGUGGGUCGUCGGUGCGUGGAGGCGUCUCGCUCCCCUGCACUCUCGGCGGCAAGGGCCGGCCAAGUGCGGCGGGCACCGGGCGAAGAGCUCGCGUCGGGCAGGUAGCGCAGCCGUCCUCGGACGGAGGCGAACUUAUAGCCGACCGUGCGGAGCGUCCGGAGCCCACCGAGGAGAGCGGUGGCACUUCCACCCGUGCAGCGCAGGUCCGCUUUCUGCGGGCCGGGGCGCUCUCGUCCGUUCGUCGGUCGUGCCGCGUCACUGCGUGCAGUGUCCGGCCCGAGCGUCCGUCCGGGCGGGAGGUCGACCCACGACUUGCGCUUCGGUCGCUU